CCUACGGGAGGCAGCAGUGAGGAAUAUUGGUCAAUGGGCGCGAGCCUGAACCAGCCAAGUCGCGUGAGGGAAGACGGCCCUACGGGUUGUAAACCUCUUUUGCCGGGGAGCAACGUGCGCCACGUGUGGCGCCACUGAGAGUACCCGGAGAAAAAGCAUGGGCUAACUCCGUGCCAGCACCCGCGUUAAUACGGAGGAUGCGAGCGUUACCCGGUUUUAUUGGGUUUAAAGGGUGCGUAGGCGGAGGGUUAAGUAAGUGGUAAAAUUGAGGGGCUCAACCCCUUCCCGCCAUUGAAACUGGCGCUCUUGAGUGGAAGAGAAGUAUGCGGAAUGCGUGGUGUAGCGGUGAAAUGCAUAGAUAUCACGCAGAACCCCGAUUGCGAAGGCAGCAUGCCGGCUUCCGACUGACGCUGAAGCACGAAAGCGUGGGGAUCGAACAGGAUUAGAUACCCUGGUAGUC
rnacentral:rRNA from 1 species